rnacentral:rRNA from 1 species
GACGAACGCUGGCGGCGUGCCUAAUACAUGCAAGUAGAACGCUGAAGAGAGGAGCUUGCUCUUCUUGGAUGAGUUGCGAACGGGUGAGUAACGCGUAGGUAACCUGCCUUGUAGCGGGGGAUAACUAUUGGAAACGAUAGCUAAUACCGCAUAACAAUGGAUGACACAUGUCAUUUAUUUGAAAGGGGCAAUUGCUCCACUACAAGAUGGACCUGCGUUGUAUUAGCUAGUAGGUGAGGUAAUGGCUCACCUAGGCGACGAUACAUAGCCGACCUGAGAGGGGGAUCGGCCACACUGGGACUGAGACACGGCCCAGACUCCUACGGGAGGCAGCAGUAGGGAAUCUUCGGCAAUGGGGGCAACCCUGACCGAGCAACGCCGCGUGAGUGAAGAAGGUUUUCGGAUCGUAAAGCUCUGUUGUAAGUCAAGAACGGGUGUGAGAGUGGAAAGUUCACACUGUGACGGUAGCUUAACAGAAAGGGACGGCUAACUACGUG